UCGCACUAAAGAUGCCAUAUAUUGAUAAUUUCGAGUCGCGGUUACCCAUCGUUAAAAGUACAUCAGCACUUCAUCAUGUACUGCCAUGACAGCGGCUGUAGUUGCCUAUUCUUUGGGGCUUGAAACUUCCGAUUAGAUGUGCUGUUCACUAACGUGACAAUGAAUGAAGCAGAACGUCCUGGCUAUGCUCAUGCACGUUUAAUCUGUCAGGAAACUAAGCUGCGCGGUGAGCUUCCGGACCUCUCCAUGAAGUCCGUCCAGAGUACCUGACUAUGAAACGCCUUACCAUUUUAAAGCUCGCCAAGAAGGCUUUGAAGGAAGUCGGUUAUCUUUGUAGCUCCCAUUCCGUUGGGUGCCCAAAAACAGAAAAAAAGAAGAAAUCCUUGAACGGUGUUGAACAUAUGCAAGGGUGCUACGUAUUGACGAGACGAAGCAUGCGAGGCUACUCCUGCAUGCCAGCAGGAACGGUGCCCUGGCAGCUUCGAAACGCCUCAUGCAGGAGGGAAAUUCUUCAGGACGGUCUAUUCCGCCUGUUGAGGCGUGCGUCCGUGCCAUAUUGAAGCUGAAAUCGAGUUUGCAGUACGGAAUUGGUGCAAUUGAACCCUGUGGUCCUGGCUAUCGUGUUGUCACACGACAUAUCGGUGUCCUUCACCACCUCCCGCCCCCUCUUCUUCACUUGUGUAUAACGUGUUCUCUAACAAAAAUAAAGAGUUGGUAGUUUGUGCUUCGUGCGUACGCAUCCGUCUUCCCUUCGUCAUCUUUCUGUGAUGGUGUAGAACUCAGUGCAACCUAAUCAUUAUUCGUCACGCAUCAAUGAUGCAUGAACUAA